rnacentral:rRNA from 1 species
UACGAGGGGGGCAAGCGUUGUUCGGAAUUAUUGGGCGUAAAGGGCGCGUAGGCGGUGCGGUAAGUCACCUGUGAAAUCUCCUGGCUCAACUGGGAGCUUGCAGGCGAAACUGCCGUGCUGGAGUGUGGGAGAGGUGCGUGGAAUUCCCAGUGUAGCGGUGAAAUGCGUAGAUAUUGGGAGGAACACCGAUGGCGAAGGCAGCCAUCUGGACCGACACUGACGCUGAGGCGCCAAAGCGUGGGGAGCAAACAGG